rnacentral:rRNA from 1 species
GACGAACGCUGGCGGCGUGCUUAACACAUGCCAGUCGAACGGAAAGGCCCUGCUCUUGCGGGGUGCUCGAGUGGCGAACGGGUGAGUAACACGUGAGUAACCUCCCCCUGACUUUGGGAUAACUCCAGGAAACUGGGGCUAUUACCGGAUAGGAGCUCCUGCUGCACGGUGGUGGUUGGCAAGUUUCGGCGGUUGGGGCUGGUCUCGCGGCUUCCCCGCUUGUUGGUGGGGUAGUGGCUUACCCAGGCUUUGACGGGUAGCCGGCCUGGGAGGGGGACCGGCCACAUUGGGACUGAGAGACGGCGCAGACGCCUACGGGAGGCAGCAGUGGGGAGUAUGGCGCAAUGGGCGGGAGCCUGAGGCAGCGGCGCCGCGUGCGGGAUGACGGCCUUCGGGUGGUGAACCGCUUUCGCCGGUGACGAGGCGUGAGUGACGGUAAUGGGUAAAGAAGCACCGGCUAACUACGUG